rnacentral:lncRNA from 1 species
AGGAGAUCAAGACCAUCCUGGCUAACACGGUGAAACCCCGUCUCUACUAAAAAUACAAAAAACUAGCUGGGCGUGGUGGCGGGUGCCUGUGGUCCCAGCUACUCGGGAGGCUGAGGCAGGAAAAUGGCAUGAACCCAGGAGGCGGAGCUUGCAGUGAGCCGAGAUAGCACGACUGCACUCCAGCCUGGGCAACAGAGCGAGACUCCGUCUCAAAAAAAAAGACUGGUUUCUUAACUAAGUCACAAACUCCCAACUAUUGAGUCUGGAAUCUUCAUUUAAUGAGAACACCAAGGGCAUGGCUGUCAAUCCUAUGACACCUGUCUGAGCCUUGAGUUGGAAAUCACCUGCAUUAAGGGCUAGAGCCCAGGGAGAAGCACCCAGUUCAAGAGAAAAAUGUCUUGAGGAGAAGAGAUAAGCCCUUGAAAAAAGUAGACCACAGAACUUGGGAGGUGCCUGCAGAGGUUCUGGGGCUGAGGGACCAGUUGGAGAAGAGGAAAAAGGAGAGGCGAAGAUGACAAAAUCACGGGUAAGGAGGCGAGAUCUGGACAGAAAAACCAGGGAUUAGCCAAGCGGGAACCAGUGAAAACGAACGUGCAGUCCAUUUUUUUCUAGAUCUGGAAGAUACAGAUCUAGAGGAGAUCUAGAAGGACUG